AACUUGAGCCCUUGAUUAAUCAGAUUCAAUGUCCAGGAUUAAAACAAAGAGACAGACAUUGUCAAAGACUCUAGACCAUUGAAUCUUGAUUACUCAAAGACUCUUGUUUCCUAUCCUAAACUUAUUUUCUCAUGCAAUCAAAUAAUCAUAAAAAAAGAAGAAGAAAAAGUUUAGGAUAGUAAACUUGAGCCCUUGAUUAAUCGUAUUCAAUGACUAGGAUAUAAACAAAGAGACACACAUUG
rnacentral:lncRNA from 1 species